UACGUAGGCAGCGAGCGUUGUUCGGAGUUACUGGGCGUAAAGAGUGCGUAGGCGGUUUUCCAAGUCUGGUGUGAAAUCUCCCGGCUCAACCGGGAGGGUGCGCUAGAAACUGGGAGACUGGAGUACGGGAGAGGUAGGCGGAAUUCCUGGUGUAGCGGUGAAAUGCGUAGAUAUCAGGAGGAACACCGGUGGUGUAGACGGCCUGCUGGACCGUAACUGACGCUGAGGCACGAAAGCGUGGGGAGCAAAC
rnacentral:rRNA from 1 species